rnacentral:piRNA from 1 species
UCUCAGCGGAAUUUGUGUCGGAAAUAC